UACGUAGGGGGCGAGCGUUGUCCGGAAUUACUGGGCGUAAAGGGCGCGUAGGCGGCCCGCUAAGUCCGCUGUGAAAGACCGAGGCUCAACCUCGGGGUGUCAGCGGAGACUGACGGGCUUGGAGUAUCGGAGAGGAGCGGGGAAUCCCUGGUGUAGCGGUGGAAUGCGUAGAGAUCAGGGGGAACACCGAUGGCGAAGGCACCGCUCUGGCCGAAGACUGACGCUGAGGCGCGAAAGCUGGGGGAGCGAACGGG
rnacentral:rRNA from 1 species